GGUUCUAUGUCUUUACACACACACACAGUGACAAAGUCUAAUGGGAUGUAUGUGGCGUUUAACGCAAUAUAAUACAACUUUCAGCAACGGAUCUCUUGGCUCUCGCAUCGAUGAAGAACGCAGCGAAAUGCGAUAAGUAAUGUGAAUUGCAGAAUUCAGUGAAUCAUCGAAUCUUUGAACGCACCUUGCGCCCUUUGGCUAUUCCGAAGGGCAUGCCUGUUUGAGUAUCAUGAACACCUCAACCCUCAUGGUUUACCAUGUGGGCUUGGACUUUGGGGGUCUUGCUGGAUUGUAGUCAGCUCCCCUUAAAUGAAUCAGCUUGCCAGUGUCUGGUGGCAUCACAGGUGUGAUAAUUAUCUACGCUUGUGGUUUUACAUCAGGUAACCUUCAGAGAUGGGGGUUCACUGGGGCUUACAAAAGGUCUCUCCUUGGUGAGGACAGCUCUUUGAAUGUUUGAUCUCAAAUCAGGUAGGACUACCCGCUGAACUUAAGCAUAUCAAUAAGCGGAGGAAAAGAAACUAACAAGGAUUCCCCUAGUAACUGCGAGUGAAGCGGGAAGAGCUCAAAUUUAAAAUCU
rnacentral:rRNA from 1 species